rnacentral:rRNA from 1 species
AUCUGCCUGAAGAAAAAAUAAUCCCGGGAAACUGGGGGUAAUGCUCUAUAGUCCGGGAGAAUGGAAUGUUCUCCGGAUGAAAGAUCCGUCGCUUCAGGAUGAGUCUGCGGCCGAUUAGGUAGUUGUUGGGGUAAAAGCCCAACAAGCCUGUCAUCGGUACGGGUUGUGGGAGCAAGAGCCCGGAGAUGGAUUUUGAGACACGAAUCCAGGCCCUACGGGGCGCAGCAGGCGCGAAAACUUUACAAUGCGGGCAACCGUGAUAAGGAAACCCCGAGUGCCACCACAGGGUGGCUGUCCACCAGUGUAAACAACUGGUGAAGAAAGGGCCGGGCAAGACCGGCGCCAGCCGCCGCGGUAAUACCGGCGGCUCGAGUGGUGGCCGCUUUUACUGGGCUUAAAGGGUCCGUAGCUGGAUCUGUGUGUCCCUUGAGAAAACCAUCGGCUUAACUGAUGGGCGUUCAGGGGAAACUGCAGUUCUAGGGACCGGGAGAGGUGAGAGGUACUGCCGGGGUAGGAGUGAAAUCCUGUAAUCCCGGUGGGACCACCUAUGGCGAAGGCAUCUCACCAGAACGGCUCCGACAGUGAGGGACGAAAGCUGGGGGAGCAAACCGGAUUAGAUACCCGGGUAGUCCCAGCUGUAAACGAUGCGCAUUAGGUGUGUCAGUGACCACAUGUCACUGAGGUGCCGAAGGGAAACCGUGAAAUGCGCCGCCUGGGGAGUACGGUCGCAAGGCUGAAACUUAA